CAUGCUGUGAGCUCGAUGAGUAGGGCGGGACACGUGGUAUCCUGUCUGAAUAUGGGGGGACCAUCCUCCAAGGCUAAAUACUCCUGACUGACCGAUAGUGAACCAGUACCGUGAGGGAAAGGCGAAAAGAACCCCGGCGAGGGGAGUGAAAAAGAACCUGAAACCGUGUACGUACAAGCAGUGGGAGCCCUGAUUUAUCAGGGUGACUGCGUACCUUUUGUAUAAUGGGUCAGCGACUUAUAUUCUGUAGCAAGGUUAACCGAAUAGGGGAGCCGGAGGGAAACCGAGUCUUAACUGGGCGUUAAGUUGCAGGGUAUAGACCCGAAACCCGGUGAUCUAGCCAUGGGCAGGUUGAAGGUUGGGUAACACUAACUGGAGGACCGAACCGACUAAUGUUGAAAAAUUAGCGGAUGACUUGUGGCUGGGGGUGAAAGGCCAAUCAAACCGGGAGAUAGCUGGUUCUCCCCGAAAGCUAUUUAGGUAGCGCCUCGUGAAUUCAUCUCCGGGGGUAGAGCACUGUUUCGGCAAGGGGGUCAUCCCGACUUACCAACCCGAUGCAAACUGCGAAUACCGGAGAAUGUUAUCACGGGAGACACACGGCGGGUGCUAACGUCCGUCGUGAAGAGGGAAACAACCCAGACCGCCAGCUAAGGUCCCAAAGUCAUGGUUAAGUGGGAAACGAUGUGGGAAGGCCCAGACAGCCAGGAUGUUGGCUUAGAAGCAGCCAUCAUUUAAAGAAAGCGUAAUAGCUCACUGGUCGAGUCGGCCUGCGCGGAAGAUGUAACGGGGCUAAACCAUGCACCGAAGCUGCGGCAGCGACACUGUGUGUUGUUGGGUA
rnacentral:rRNA from 1 species